rnacentral:rRNA from 1 species
GCCAGACUCCUACGGGAGGCAGCAGUGGGGGAUAUUGCACAAUGGGGGGAACCCUGAUGCAGCGACGCCGCGUGGGUGAAGGAGUAUUUCGGUAUGUAAAGCCCUAUCGGCAGGGAAGAAGCAAGACGGUACCUGACUAAGAAGCCCCGGCUAACUACGUGCCAGCAGCCGCGGUAAUACGUAGGGGGCGAGCGUUAUCCGGAUUCACUGGGUGUAAAGGGAGCGUAGACGGCCAUGCAAGCCAGGGGUGAAAGCCCGGGGCCCAACCCCGGGACUGCCCUUGGAACUGCAUGGCUGGAGUGCGGGAGGGGCAGGCGGAAUUCCUGGUGUAGCGGUGAAAUGCGUAGAUAUUAGGAGGAACACCAGUGGCGAAGGCGGCUUACUGGACUGUAACUGACGUUGAGGCUCGAAAGCGUGGGGAGCAAACAGGAUUAGAUACCCCAGUA